rnacentral:hammerhead_ribozyme from 1 species
AUCCAACUGAAGGGUCCCAAAUAGGACGAAACGCAUAUCCUAGAU